rnacentral:rRNA from 1 species
UACGGAGGAUGCGAGCGUUAUCCGGAUUUAUUGGGUUUAAAGGGUGCGUAGGCGGGCUUUUAAGUCAGCGGUAAAAAUUCGGGGCUCAACCCCGUCCGGCCGUUGAAACUGGGGGCCUUGAGUGGGCGAGAAGAAGGCGGAAUGCGUGGUGUAGCGGUGAAAUGCAUAGAUAUCACGCAGAACCCCGAUUGCGAAGGCAGCCUUCCGGCGCCCUACUGACGCUGAGGCACGAAAGUGCGGGGAUCGAACAG